rnacentral:rRNA from 1 species
GUCUACGAGAGUAGUUAGUACUCGUCGCUAGGAUGAACGCUGGCGGCGUGCCUAACACAUGCAAGUCGAGCGGGGAAGCCGGAACAUGUAGAGAUAUAUGAGAAAGCAUCCUAGCGGCGGACGGGUGAGUAACACGUGAGGAACCUGCCUUACACAGGGGAAUAACACCGUGAAAACGGUGCUAAUACCGCAUAACACCGCACUAUGGCAUCAUAGAACGGUCAAAGGAGAAAUCCGGUGUAAGAUGGCCUCGCGCCCGAUUAGUUAGUUGGUGGGGUAAUGGCCUACCAAGACUGCGAUCGGUAGCCGGACUGAGAGGUCGAACGGCCACAUUGGAACUGAGAGACGGUCCAGACUCCUACGGGAGGCAGCAGUGGGGAAUAUUGGGCAAUGGGGGGAAACCCUGACCCAGCAACGCCGCGUGAAGGAAGAAGGCCUUCGGGUUGUAAACUUCUUUGAUCAGGGAAGAAACAAAUGACGGUACCUGAAAAACAAGCCACGGCUAACUACGUGCCAGCAGCUGC